rnacentral:rRNA from 1 species
GAUGAACGCUGGCGGCGUGCCUAAUACAUGCAAGUCGAGCGAACAGACGAGGAGCUUGCUCCUUUGACGUUAGCGGCGGACGGGUGAGUAACACGUAUGUAACCUACCUAUAAGACUGGGAUAACUUCGGGAAACCGGAGCUAAUACCGGAUAAUAUUUCGAACCGCAUGGUUCGAUAGUGAAAGAUGGCUUUGCUAUCACUUAUAGAUGGACCUGCGCCGUAUUAGCUAGUUGGUAAGGUAACGGCUUUCCAAGGCAACGAUACGUAGCCGACCUGAGAGGGUGAUAGGCCACACUGGAACUGAGACAGGGUCAAGAGGACUAAGGGAGGCAGCAGUAGGGAAUCGUACGCAAUGGGGGAAAGCAUGACGGAGCAACGCGGCGUGAGUGAUGAAGGUGUUCGGAGCGGAAAAAUGUGUUAUGAGGGAAGAACAAACGUGGAAGGAAAUGUGCAAGGCUUGACGGUACCUAAUCAGAAAGCCACGGCUAACUACGUG